rnacentral:rRNA from 1 species
UACGAAGGGGGCUAGCGUUGUUCGGAUUUACUGGGCGUAAAGCGCACGUAGGCGGAUUGCUAAGUCAGGGGUGAAAUCCUGGAGCUCAACUCCAGAACUGCCUUUGAUACUGGCGAUCUCGAGUCCGGGAGAGGUGAGUGGAACUGCGAGUGUAGAGGUGAAAUUCGUAGAUAUUCGCAAGAACACCAGUGGCGAAGGCGGCUCACUGGCCCGGUACUGACGCUGAGGUGCGAAAGCCAGGGGAGCAAACGGG